AGAGUUUGAUCAUGGCUCAGGAUGAACGCUGGCGGCGUGCUUAACACAUGCAAGUCGAACGAUGAUGCCAGCUUGCUGGUGGAUUAGUGGCGAACGGGUGAGUAACACGUGAGUAACCUGCCCUUGACUCUGGGAUAAGCCUGGGAAACUGGGUCUAAUACCGGAUAUGACCUUCCAUCGCAUGGUGGUUGGUGGAAAGCUUUUGUGGUUUUGGAUGGACUCGCGGCCUAUCAGCUUGUUGGUGGGGUAAUGGUCUACCAAGGCGACGACGGGUAGCCGGCCUGAGAGGGUGACCGGCCACACUGGGACUGAGACACGGCCCAGACUCCUACGGGAGGCAGCAGUGGGGAAUAUUGCACAAUGGGCGCAAGCCUGAUGCAGCGACGCCGCGUGAGGGAUGACGGCCUUCGGGUUGUAAACCUCUUUCAGUAGGGAAGAAGCGUAAGUGACGGUACCUGCAGAAGAAGCGCCGGCUAACUACGUGCCAGCAGCCGCGGUAAUACGUAGGGCGCAAGCGUUAUCCGGAAUUAUUGGGCGUAAAGAGCUCGUAGGCGGUUUGUCGCGUCUGCCGUGAAAGUCCGGGGCUCAACUCCGGAUCUGCGGUGGGUACGGGCAGACUAGAGUGAUGUAGGGGAGACUGGAAUUCCUGGUGUAGCGGUGAAAUGCGCAGAUAUCAGGAGGAAC
rnacentral:rRNA from 1 species